rnacentral:rRNA from 1 species
UGAGGAAUAUUGGUCAAUGGACGGAAGUCUGAACCAGCCAUGCCGCGUGAAGGAUGAAGGCGUUCUGCGUUGUAAACUUCUUUUAUCUGGGAAGAAACCACAGAUUUCUAUUUGUGUUGACGGUACCAGAUGAAUAAGCACCGGCUAACUACGUGCCAGCAGCCGCGGUAAUACGUAGGGUGCAAGCGUUAAUCGGAAUUACUGGGCGUAAAGCGUGCGCAGGCGGUUUUGUAAGACAGAGGUGAAAUCCCCGGGCUCAACCUGGGAACUGCCUUUGUGACUGCAAAGCUGGAGUGCGGCAGAGGGGGAUGGAAUUCCGCGUGUAGCAGUGAAAUGCGUAGAUAUGCGGAGGAACACCGAUGGCGAAGGCAAUCCCCUGGGCCUGCACUGACGCUCAUGCACGAAAGCGUGGGGAGCAAACA